rnacentral:lncRNA from 1 species
CAGAGACUUUGGACACCCGGCGGAGCCGUCCGGAGGCUCCGAGGUAAGAAUAAAAAACGUGUUCGAGAUCGGGAGACGGACAGACACGAGGAGACCGCUUUGGCCCCCCAAAACAACCUGCGCGGAAUGGGGGGGUUCAACGCGGGCUGAAAAACUGCGCAUUCAAUUUCAAAUAUUGUGUUAGAAGUUCAAAUCAGAAUGAGAAAAAAAAAAAAAAAAAGUUUCACUGUUGAAAAAAGAAAGGAAAAAAAAGAUCGCAGAAGAAUGCACCCGCAUCUUGAGGUGUCCAGGUGGCUGGAGGGGCGAUGCAUGGGAGGAGACCUUGCAACUUGAGGAAUGAAGUCCAUCAAGGACCUUCCGUGGAGAAAGGAGAUGGAUGGCAAGGACAUGUGAAGCUCUCUGUUCCCAUCAAGAGGGUAGUUCACACACCAGUGCGACAGUAUAAUGGACUCAAAGGAUCGGACAGAUCUGGUUUGAUUUCAAAGCAGAGGAAGGAAUAUGAACGAGGCAAUGGUUCAUAAACCUGAGGACGUAAAAUAAACACUCU